AUAAGGGCGCACGGUGGAUGCCUUGGCACUAGGAGCCGAUGAAGGACGGGACUAACACCGAUAUGCUUUGGGGAGCUGUACGUAAGCUAUGAUCCAGAGAUUUCCGAAUGGGGGAACCCAGCAUCUUUAAUAGGAUGUUACGAUUGUGUGAAUACAUAGCACAUUCGAGGUAGACGCAGAGAACUGAAACAUCUAAGUACCUGCAGGAAGAGAAAGAAAAUUCGAUUCCCUGAGUAGCGGCGAGCGAAACGGGAAAAGCCCAAACCAACAAGCUUGCUUGUUGGGGUUGUAGGACUCCAAUAUGGUCGUUCUUUCAGAUAGUCGAAUGACUUGGAAAAGUCAGUCAAAGAGGGUAAAAACCCCGUAGACGA
rnacentral:rRNA from 1 species